rnacentral:lncRNA from 1 species
AUGAAGCUGUUAUGUUUUUGCAGUGACAAGAACAAUGCGGUUGCUGAAGUCUCAUACACUGAGCCGUGCACAGAGAACACACAAACCACACUGAUUGCUUCCCCCCCACUUCAAUGCUUUAAGUGCCUGCUCUGGAAUGCCUCCUUAAAAAGGAAGGAAUCAACAGUUUGUAAGGGAAAGGAGCAGAAGAGCAGCUGUAGGACAGGACCUCUCAAAGAAGAGCACCACUGCUCUCACAAACUGCCCAGGAACAAAUACAACUUUCCCUCACCACUCAGUGAAGCUGGAAGUGCAAACCAAGUCCUUCUCUUAUUGCCCUUUGCAGAGGUCAACAAAUUCAUGGAAACUUGGAGACUACAGAGCGAGAGAUGCACAGAGGCACCAUGCACUACCUGAAGAUAACCACAAAAUAAUCCCAUCACAGCUGCUGAGGUCAACUGUAGAGAUGAGGAUCGAAAACUGGAGCACUGUGAGUUGCAAAGGGUGAAAGGCUCCAGGUUAGGAAGCAAAAAGACACAGCCACCAUGCUCCCAGGGGGUGUGCAACCAGGGCUGCUCUGCAGUGCUCCAGUGGGGACUUUCCUCUCCUCCGCCCUGUUAGCAUCACUUCCCUGAGGACAACUUUUGCUGGAGCUGCCAGAUUCGCAGUUUUGUGCAACGAACCAAAUCUAGGUCAUAGGCAUGCUGUUUCAAAGUCAUAAAAAGCAAUUGCACAUCUGCAGGUCUUGACCACUGCAAAACAAAUAUUGUUGGUUUUCUUCUUCUGAAAGUUUUCCAUCACCGCUAUGGAACUGGGGGAGAAAAUACAGGCAAAACAAAUUAAUAUAUUGUAUACAGUUUCAGUGUAAUAGUGUUAAAGCCCUAACCCCUGCCCCAUGGUGAAAGCAGCAGUGGAAACACAUCGUAAAGCCUUGAUCUCAAUGAGCUGAUAAUCAGGUUAAGCAUUAGCUGGCACAGCAGCUUGAGAUAACCAUAUGCAGAAAGGGAGAGGGGAGUUACACUGCAAGCCUGGAUUAUUAUGGACAUAACCAUUAUGUGGAGUAAGGGGAUGCUGAACCGCCGAGUAACAUUUAGUAGAUAGGUAGGGAAAAAAGGGGCUGGAGUGACUGUUAUGGGAUCUAUUUGUGUUUUCCCUCUAAUGCUUCACUGCAGCUUUCCUUGCUAACAUGUACCAGCAUGCUCAUGUGAGAACAGCUGCAUUCCAGCAGCAGGAGUUUUUCUUUCUGUGUUGCUCAGUAGUGGUUGUUUUCUCGUAAGUCUGCAAAAAAUCCGGAGGGUAAACUCGAACUGCCUCGCCCCGUUUUUAGAAAAUGAAAAUAAAAAUCCAGAUCCAGCACUGACA